UACAGAGGGUGCAAGCGUUAAUCGGAAUUACUGGGCGUAAAGCGUGCGUAGACGGUUACAUAAGUCGGGUGUGAAAGCCCCGGGCUCAACCUGGGAAUUGCAUUCGAGACUGCGUAGCUAGGGUGCGGAAGAGGGAAGCGGAAUUCCGGUGUAGCGGUGAAAUGCGUAGAUAUCGGGAGGAACACCAGUGGCGAAGGCGACUUCCUGGCCUGUUCUUGACGCUGAGGCGCGAAAGCUAGGGUAGCAAACGG
rnacentral:rRNA from 1 species